AGACCAUAUUGAUGAUCCAGAGGAGACUCAGAUAGUGCCUCAUACCCUGAUGAUAAUGGUAAUGAUGGAAAUGAUGAUGACGAUGAUGAUGGUGAUGAAGAAAAUGACAAUGAUGAUCAUGAUGAUGAUAAUGAAGAUGAUUAGGGAUCAGAUAUGGAAGGUGAUAGCUUUGAUUUCCAGCCAGAGAGUGGUUCCUUUGGUCAGACAUUUAACAAUCAUUUUGUCGUCCAUGCUGAUGAAAUGUUUGGAGGUAAUGUUCCAGGUUGCUGGGUCCACAAACAAACAGUGGCAGAAGUACUACAGCAUACAAACAGUAUGAACGCCACGGCAGGCCCGCACACACAAGACAAGGGUGGUCCUCUCUAACAAUGAUCUGAGAAUUAUCUGGAGACAGGAGGAAGAUAUCUUUGACGAGUUGUUUCAAUGACAGGUGGAUAGAGUCCAGAGAUCUAGACAGUUGUAUGCAGUCAGAUCACGACAAUUGUAUACAGUCACAUCUCAGCAGUUGUAUUCAGUCAUAUCUUGAAAGUUGUAUGCAGUCUGGAGAUCUCGACAGUUUAUAUGCAGUCAGGAGAUCUCGACAGUUGUAUGCAGCCCGGGGAUCUCGACAGUUGUAUGCAGUCUGGGGAUCUUGACAGCUGUAUGCAGUCCGGAGAUAUUGACAGUUGUAUGCAGUCAGGUGAUCUCGACAGUUGUAUGCAGUCAGGAGAUCUAAGUUCUUUUUGUACUGUUGGCAUUCUCGAUUCAGUCUCAGAUAGAAAUAACUUGAUGUACUUGAGCUUACUGUUGGGAAUUUACCUUUGUCAGUCUUCGAAUUUUUGUAGGUCAGUCUUCGAAUUUUUGUAUGUCAGUCUUCGAAUUUUUGUAGGUCAGUCUUCGAAUUUUUGUAAUGUUGCACAUGUUUUGCAGUUCUCAUAAAAUUUAGUUAACAACUGACAGUUGUUAUAUGUAUGGAGGCUUGUUUCGUGUCGAAAUAUAAAGACCUAAUUAUUUUCUUUCUACAGUACAUAUUUUGAGUUAAUAUGAAUAGAACUGUAUAGACAGCAACAAGUAUUGAUUGGCAUGCUUGAUUUUUAUGAGUCUGCUUUGAAAAAUCACAAUACCUCAUCAUUCCUAACAGUCUGAUGUAACAUCAUAGUUUUAAAGAAUUUACUGUGUAAAGAAAUGUAGAUUUUGACAAAAGAUCAAACAUUUGCAAAAGUACCAAUAUUGUGUCUUGUAUGAGCUAUAUAUUAAGAACCUAACACAGGCCUCCUAGUGAAACCUUUAAUUUCAGAGCAAACCUUUAAAACCUUUAAAUCUUCUGAAAAAACCUUUAAAACGGCCAAAUAGCCCGUAAUUUUCACUCAAAACCUAUAUUUUUGUUCAGACUGCUUGCCGUGCCAGUUUAAAGCAAGUAAUGGUUAUACUGCUGUAUUUCUUCCCCCCUUUUAAGUAUUGUUAUUUGGAUACUGCUUGUGUAUCUUUCAUCUUGAGUUUUUCAGAAUGCUGUUGUGUUCACCAGACCACAUACAAGUAGUAAAUACCUAUAUAUAUUAUGUGUUUUCAACGAGAAUUCAGACAAAAAUAGCCUUUAUUUACUCUUUAUUUUUUAAUAUUUUACACUAAAAGGCCUUUAUUUCCAUAGAUUGGAGCCUUUAUAAAAACCUUUAUUUUUGUUCAGGCCUGCUAGGAGGCCUGCUAACAUGUAUUUCAAAUGUAGUUUUAAAGGUACAAAUUGUAACUCCGUGCUCGCUGAUGUUUGUUUUUACUAAGAUAACGCCGAUUCAUGCUCUGACAGGAGAUCAUGCGAGAUUACAGCCAGUUGCCAUUCUGUGUAUUUUAUACUUCUUUGGAUAUACA